GGGCCCGUGGGGUAGUGGAUCAUCCUUUUAGCCUUCGGAGCUGAAGACCCGUGUUCGAAUCACGGCGGGCUCA
rnacentral:tRNA from 1 species